rnacentral:rRNA from 1 species
UACGUAGGGACCAAGCGUUGUUCGGAUUUACUGGGCGUAAAGGGCGCGUAGGCGGCAAUUCAAGUCAUCUGUGAAAUCUCCGGGCUUAACUCGGAAUGGUCAGGUGAUACUGCUUUGCUAGAGUGCAGAAGGGGCAAUCGGAAUUCUUGGUGUAGCGGUGAAAUGCGUAGAUAUCAAGAGGAACACCUGAGGUGAAGACGGGUUGCUGGGCUGACACUGACGCUGAGGCGCGAAAGCUAGGGGGAGCAAACGGGG